UAGAUGGAGUCUCGCUCUGUCACCCAGGCUGGAGUGCAGUGCAGUGGUGCGAACUCGGCUCAUUGCUGGAUCUUACGAUCAAUUGAGGAUUUUAUUUUACAAAUUCAUUUGUCCUGGUACUCAUAAACAAGUAUAAUUUAGGUUAAGAUUAAAAAUGUAAGCCAAAGAGGGCAGAGUACGAUGGCAGAAGAGAAGCCUACACUGUUCAUCCCCACUCCCCCACCGCACUGGAACACCAAAUUUUAACAACCAUUUGCACACAGAAAAGCACCAUCACACCGUCACAACAAACAAAAAUCAGGUGAGCAAUCAUACUUUCUAGUUUUAACUUCAUAUAGCUAAAGGAGGCGUGGGGGAGGACAAGAGAGAUAGUCUUGAAUCACUGAUGCCACCCAUCCCUCAUGUCUAGGCAACAGCUGAGUAGUAAGGAGAAAGAAUCUGUGCACUUUGGGGAGAGUGCAGUGACACUCUCUGUGGGACAAUACAUUGAACUCAGUGCUGCCCUGUCACAGCAGAGAAUGAACUCUUGCUGGGCUCAGCCAGUGGCUGUGCAUGUAGGGAGCAUUUGGACUCACCUUAGUCAAAGGGGAUUCACCCAUCCCAGUGAUCAGAAUUUGAGUUUCUCAACAAGCCUUUCCACUGUGGGCUAAAAUUCUCUGGCGUACUAGGUAAACUUGAAAGACAGCCUACAACACAAGAACUCCAAUUCCUGGGCAACUCCUAGUGUUAGGUUUGGCUUAGAGCCAGCAGGCUAGGGUGGCAUGUGACCUAUGGAAACACCAGUUGGUGCUGCUAAGAGAGUACUUGUUCCAUUUCUCCCCGAAACCCAGGUAGUGCAGGUCACAGCAACAAAAGUGGCUCCUUUUUAUCUGUGUAAGUAGAGGAGCACAGUGUAACAGGACUUUGUCUUGCAUCUUGGAUACCAGCUCAGCCACAGCAGGACAGGGCACUGACCAGGAUUGUGAGGCCCCCAUUUUAGGCCCUAGCUCUCAGAUGACAUUUAUGAACACACCAUGGGUCAAAAAGGAAGGGAAGGAUACAGUUUUUGCAGGGUUGAUCACCUACUGGCUAAAGAGCCCUUGGGCCCUGGGUUACCAUCAACAAUACCCAGGUAGUAUGCCAUGGGCCUAGGGCACUAAGACAUGCUGAUUUCUGGUGUGACCUAGCACAUUCCCAGCUGUGGUGACUAUGUUGAAAGACUCCUGUUUGAAAAAAGCAGAGGGAAAAAUAAAGGGAACUUUGUCUUGCAGCUUAGGUACCAGCUUGUCCAGAGUGGGGUAGAGCAACAAACAGGCUUUUAGGGUCCCCAAGUCCAGGCUUAGGCUCUUGGACAGCAUUUAUGAACCUGCCUUGGACCAAAGGGGAGCCCACUGUUCUGAAGGGUGAGUCCCCGGACUGACAACGUUUACCAAAAGCUGGCUGAAGAGCACUUGGGCUUUAGGGGAAUAUCAGUGGUGGCCUGGCAGAACUCCCUAUGGAUCAGUGGUGGUGGUGGAUACAGGGAGAGGCUUCUCUGCCUGUAGAAAGGGGAGAGAAGAGUAGGAAUGACUUUAUAUUGUAGUUUGAGUGCCAAAUCAGCCACAGUACACCAGAACACCCAGUAAACUGCUAAGGUAUUUGACCUAAAUACCUGGCUCCAAGGCAGCAUGUCUGGACAUGCCUCGGUCCUGGUAGAAAUCACUGCCCUGAAAGGAAACGCUUUGGGAAACACCUGGUACUGUGCUGGCUUCAGGUAUGACUCAGCACCAUCCCAGUGGUGUUGAUCACUGGGGAGCUUGCAUCACCACACCCCCACUUCUAGGUGUCUCAGCACAGAGAGAGAGAGACUUCAUUUGUUUGGGAAAAAGUAAGGGAAAAGAAUAACAGUCUUUGCUUAUAUUGCAGAGAAUGUUUCUGGAUCUUAUCCAAUAACACCAAGGUGAUACCUCUACAGGUCUGCAAAAACUACAGCAUUAUUGAGCUUGGGGCCCAAGUCCCUUCAAAUACCUGGAAAGCCUUCCCAAGAAGGACGGGAACAAAAAAGGCCAGACAUUGAAGACUACAAAAAAUAUCUAACUCUUUAAAGCCCAGACACAGACUAACAGCUACAAGCAUCAACAUUUUCUAGGAAAACACGACCUCACCAAAUAAACUAAAUAAGACACCAGGAACCAAUCCUGGAGAAACAGAGAUAUAUGAUCUUUCAGAUAGAGAAUUAAAAAUAGCUGUUUUGAGGAAACUCGAAGAAAUUCAAAAUUCUAUCAGCUAAAUUUAACAAAAAGAUGGAAAUAAGAAUCAAGAAGAAAUUCUAGAGUUGAAAACUGCUACUGACAUGCUGAAGAAAGUAUCAAAGUCUCUCAAUAGCAGAAUUGAUCAAGCAGAAGAAAGAAUUAGUGAGCUUGAAGACAGGCACAGUUAGAGGAGACAAUAAAAAUAAAAAUAAUAAAGCAUGCCUACAGGAUCUAAAAACUAGCCUUAAAGGGGUGAAUCUAAGAGCUAUUGGCCUUAAAGAAGAGGUAGAGAAAGAGAUGGAGGUAGAAAGUCUAGUCAAAGGUGUAAUAUCAGAGGAUUUCCCAAGUCUAGAGAAAGAUAUCAACAUUCAAGUACAAGAAUGUUAUGGAUUUAUCCCCCAAUAAAGCCUACCCCAAGGCAUUUAAUUAUCAAACUCCCAAAGGUUAAGGAUAAAGAAAGUACCCUAAAAGCAGCAGGAAAAAAGAAAUAAAUAAUACACAAUGGAGCUCCAAUAGAUCUGAAAGCAGACUUUCAUUUGGAAACAUUACAGGCCAGGAGAAAGUGGCAUGACAUAUUUAAAGUACUGAAGGAAUAACUGUAACCCUAGAGUAGUAUAUCUGGUGAAAAUACCCUUCAAGCAUGAAGGAAAAAUAAAGACCUUUCCAGACAGACAAAAGAGAUUUCAUUGACACCAGACCUAUGCUACAAGAAAUGUUAAAUGGAGUUCUUCAAUCUGAAAGACAAGGAUGUUAGUUAGCAAAAAGAAAUAAUCUGAAAAUAGAAAACUCACCGGGAAUAGUAAGCACACAGAAAAACACAGAAUAGUAUAACACUGUAAUACUGGUUUGUAAACUAUUCUUGUCUUAAGUAGAAAGACUAAAUGACAAACCAAUAAAAAUACUCACUACAACAACUUUUCAAGACAUAGGACAAUAAGACAUAAAUGGAAAAAACAAAAAGUUAAAAAGUGGAGGGAUAAAGUCAAAGUGUAGAGUUUUUAUUAGUUGUGUGUGUGUGUGUGUGUGUGUGUUUCUGUGUUUGUGUGUGUGUUUGCUUGUUUAUGCAAUCAGGGUUAAGUUGCCUUCAGUUUAAAAUAAUGGGUUAUAAGGUAUUAUUUACAAGCCUCAUGGUAACUUCCAAUUAAAAAAUUACAGCAAACACAAAAAGUAAAAAGCAAAAAACUAAAGUGCACCACCAAAGAAAAUCAACUGUAUUUAAAAGACAGAAACAAAGGAGAGAAAGAAGACUGAAAAACAACCAGAAAACAAAUAACAAAAGGGCAGCAGCAAGACCUUACUUAUCAGUAAUAACAUGAAAUGUAAAUGGACUAAAUUUUCCAAUUAAAAAAACACAGAAUGGCUGAAUCAACAAAAAACAAGACCCAGUGAUCUAUUGCCUACAUGAAACAUAGCUAACCUAUAAAAGUACACAUAGACUGAAAAUAAAGGGAUGGAAAAAGAUAUCCCAUGCCAAAGGAAACCAAAAAAGAGUAGGCAUAGCUAUAUUUAUAACAAAAAAAAUUUCAAGACAAAACUUGUGAGAAGAAAUGAGAAAAGUCAUUAUACACUGAUAAGAGUCAAUGCAGCAAGAAGAUAAAAUAAUUGUAAAUAUAUGUACACCCAAUACACGAGCACCCAGAUAUGUAAAGAAAAUAUGAUUAGAACCAAAGAGACAGAGGCCCCAAUAUAAUAAAGCCUGGAGACUUCAACAACCCACUUUCAGCACUUGACUAAUCUUCCAGACAGAAAAUCAGCAAAGAAACAUCAAACUUAAUUUGCACUUUAAAAAAUAAUGGACCUCAUAGAUAUUUACAGAACAUUUCAUCAAACAGUUGCAGAAUACACAUUCCUCUACUCAGCAUAUGGAUCAUUCUCAAAGACAAACCUUAUGUUAUGUCACCAAGCAAGUCUUAAAACAAUAAAAAAUUGAAAUAAUAUUAAGCAUCUUCUCUGACCACAAUAGAACAUAACUAGAAAUCAAUAAUAAAAUGAAUUUUGGAAAUGAUACAAGUGCAUAGAAAAUAAGCAAUAUGAUCCUGAAUAACCAGUGGGUCAAUAAUAAAAUUAAGAAAUAAAUUGAAAAAUUUCUUGAAACAAAAGAAAAUGAAAACACAACAUAGCAAAACCUGUAAGAUACAGCAAAAACAGUAGUUAGAGGCAAGUUUAUAGCUGAGUGCCUACAUCAACAAAGAAUAAAAACAUCAAAUAAAGAACUUUAAUGGUGCAUCCUGAAAAAAUAAGAAAAGCAAGAGAAAACUUAACUCAAAAUUAGAAGGAAAGAAAUAAUAACGAGCAGAGCAGAGAUAAAUAAAUUUGACAUGAAUAAAAUAAUACAAAAUAACAAAACAAAAAGUUGUUUUUUCGAAAAGAUAAACAAAAUUGACAAACCUUUAGGCACAUUAACUAAUAAAAAAGAGAGAAGAUUCAAAUAAAUAAAAUCAGAUUUGGAAAAAAAAAGACAUUUGAGGUGGUCAGAUUGCUUGAGCUCAGGAGGUGGAGACCAGCUUGGGCAACAUGAUAAAACCUCAUCUCUACAAAGGUUACAAAAGUUAGCUGGGUGUGGUGGUGCAUACCUGUAGUCCUAGCUAUUCAAGAGUCUGUGGUGGGAGGAUCACUGGAACCUGAGAGAUUGAGGCUGAAAGUGAGCUGAGAUUGUGCCACACACUCCAGCCUGGGUGACAAAGUGAGACCCUGUCUAAAAUAAGAAAGAAAGAAAGAAAAAAGAAAGAAAUGAAGGAAGGAAGAAAGGAAGGAAGGAAGGAAGGAAGGAAGGAAGGAAAAGGAGACAUUACAACUAAUGCCUCAGAAAUUCAAAGGAUUGACCGGGUGCAGUGGCUCACGCCUGCAAUCCCAGCACUUUGGGAGGCCAAGGCAGGCAGAUCACGAGGUCAGGAGUUCGAGACCAGCCUGACCAACAUGGUAAAACCCCGUCUCUACUAAAAAUACAAAAAUUAGCUGGGCGUUGUGGUGCGCGCCUGUAAUCCCAGCUACUCAGGAGGCUGAGGCAGGAGAAUCACUUGAACCCAGGAGGUGGAAGUUGCAGUGAGCCGAGAUCGUGCCACUGCACUCCAGCUUGGGUUACAGAGUGAGACUCCAUCUCAAAAAAAAAAAAAAAAAAAAAGGAAUUCAAAGGAUCAUCGGAUCCUUGGUGAUUACUAUGAACGACUAUGUGCCAAUAAAUUUCAAACUCUGGAAUAAAUGAAUAAAUUGCUAGACACAUACAACCUACAAAGAUAGAACCAUGAAGAAAUCUAAAACCCAACCAGACCAACAACAAGUAAUGAGAUCACAGUUAUAAUAAAUAGUCUCCCAGCAAUGAAAAGCCCAGAACCUAAUGGCUUCACUGCUGAAAUCUAGCAAACAUUUAAAGAACUAAUGCCAAUCCAACUCAAACUAUUCUGUAAAAUAGAGGAGAAGAGAAUGCUUCCAAAUUCUUUCUAAAAAGCCAGCAUUACCCUAAUAACAAAACCAGCCAGACACAUUGAAAAAGGAAACUACAGGUCAGUAUCAAUGAUGAAUAUUGAUAUAAAAACCCUCAACAAAAUAUUAGGAGACCAAAUUCUACAAUAUAUUAAAGAGAUCAUUCAUCAUGACCAAGUGUGAUUUAUCCCAGGGAUGCAUGGAUGGCUCAACAUACACAAAUCAAUCAACGUAGUAUAUAAUGUCAACAGAAUGAUACAAAAGAAUUUUAAAAAAUAAUAAAUUAAAAACAGAAUGAAAGAUAAAAAUUAUAUGUUCAUUUCAAUUGAUGCUAAAAAAGCAUUUGAUCAAGUUCAGCAUCCCAUUAUUAUGAAAACCCUCAAAAAAACUGCAUAUAGAAGGAACAUACCUUAAUAUAAUAAGAGCCAUAUGCAACAGACCCACAGCCAUUAUCAUGCUGAAUGGGGAAAAACUGAAAGCCUUUCCUCUUAGAUCUGAAACAUUACAAGGAUGCAUGUUUCAUCAUUGUUAUUCAGCAUAGUACUGGAAGUGGUAGCUAGAGCACUCAAACAAGAAAAAAAAAAAAAAGAAAAAGAAAGGACAUCCAAAUUGGAAAGAAAGCAAUCCAAUUAUCCUUCUUUUAAGAUGAUAUGAUCUUAUAUUUGAAAAACUGUAAAGACCCCACAAGAAAACAAUCAGAACUGAAAAAACAAAUUCAAUAAAGUUGCAAGAUACAAAAUCAACACACAGGAAUCAGUGACAUUUCUAUAUGCUACUGCAAACGAUCUGAAAAAUUACAUGCUGCGGUAACUCAGUAGCAUUUCUAUAAGCUACAGUGAACAAUCUGAAAAAUAACUAAAAAAUGCAUACUUAUUUACGAUGACCACAAAUAAAAUUAAAUAAUUAGAAACCAAAAAUAGUGAAUGAUUUUUAACAGUGAAAACUAUAAAACACUGAUGAAAUAAAUUGAAAAAGCCACAGAAACUGGAGCGAUUCCAUAUACAUGGAUUAGAAUAAUCAAUAUUGUUUAAAUGUCUGUACUACUCAAAGUAAUAUACAGAUUCAGCACAAUUCCUAUGAAAACACCAGUAACAUUCUUCACAGAAAUGGGAGGAAAAAAUAAUAAAAUUUAUAUGCAAUUACAAAAGACCCAGAAUAGCCAAAGACAUACUGAGCAAAAGGAACAAAACAGGAGGAAUUAUAUUAGCUGACUUCACUACAGAGCUAUAGUAACUAAAAUGUCAUGGUACUUGCAUAAAAGCAGACACAUAACCGAAUGGAACAGGAUAAAGAACCCAGAAACAAAUUCACACACCUACACUGAACUCAUUUUUAACAAAGUUGCCAGGAAGAUACUUGGGAGAAAGGACAGUCUCUUCAGUAAACGGUGCUGGUAAUACUAGAUAUCCAUAUGCAGAAGAAUAAAACUGGACCCCUAUCUCUCAAAGUAUACAAAAAUCAAAUACAAAUGGAUUGAAGACUUAAAUCUAAGACAUUAAACUAUAAAAUUACUAUAAUACAAGGAAACAUUGAGAAAGCUCUCUGGGAUAUUGGUCUUGAGCAAUAGCCUACAAGUACAGGAAACCAAAGCAAUAAUGGACAAAUGGGAUCACAUCAAGUUAAAAGCUUCUCCAUGGCAAAGAAACAACCAAUAAAGUGAAAAGACAACCCUCAGAAUAGGAGAAAAUAUUUGGAAACCACCCAUCUGUAUUAGGUCAUUCUCAAAUUGCUAUAAAGAAAUAUCUGAGACUGGGUAAUUUAUAAGAGAGGAGGAAUUAUAGACUUGUUGUUCUGCUGGCUGUACAGAAAGGAUAGAGGAAUCUGUUUCCGGGGAGGCCUCAGGAAGUUUCCAAUUAUGGCAGAAGGCAAAGGCAGAGCAGCCAUAUCACAUAGUGAAAGCAAAAACAAAUGAGGGGGGCACACAAUUUUAAACAACCAGGUCUCACAAUAACUCACUCACUGCCUCAAGGACAGCAUCAAUUCUCUCAAAUGCUAAACCAUUAAUAAGGAUGCCCCUAUGACCGAAUCACCUCGCACUAGGGCCCACCUCCAGCUCUUGGUAUUAUGUUUCAACAUGAGAUUUGGGUGGGCACAAAUAUCCAAACUAUAUCACCAUCUGAUAAGGAAUUAAUAACCGGAAUAUAUAAGAAACUCAACAAUUUUAUAGAAAAAGAAAUCUAAUGAUCUAGUUACAGCACAGGCAAAAGACCUGAAUAGACAUUUCCAGAAAGAAGACAUAAAAAUGUCAAGCAGGCAUAUGAAAAGGUGCUUAACAUCAUUUAUCAUCAGAGAAAUGCAAAUCAACAAUACAAUGAAAUAUCAUCUCAACCCAGUUAAAAUGGCUUUUAUGGAAAAUCAGGCAAUAGCAAAUGGUGUCUAGGAUGUGGAGAAAAGGAAACUCCUGUAUACUGUUGGUGCAAUUGUAAGUUAGAACAACCACUAUGAAGAACAGUUUGGAUGUUCCUCAAAAAACUAGAAAUUGGGCCACCAUAUGAUCCAUCAAUCCCACUUCUGGGUAUAUACACCCCCGAAAAAGGAAAUGAGUAUAUAAAACAGAUAACUGAACUCCCAUGUUUGUUGCAGCACUCUUCACAACACCUAAGAUUUGGAAGCAAACUGAGGGGCCAUGAACACAUGAAUAAAGAAAAUGUGGUACAUAUACAAAAUGAAGUACUAUUCAUCCAUAAAAAAUGAAAUUCUGUUAUUUGCAACAACAUGGAUGGAAGUAGAGGUCAUCAUGUUUAGUCAAAUAAGCCAGGCACAGAAAGACAAGCACUGCAUGUUUUCAUUUAUUUGUAGGAUCUAAAAAUUAAAACAAUUGAACUCAUGGAGAUAGAGAAUAGAAGAAUGGUCACUAGAAGCUAGGAAGGGUAGUGAUUGGGGGAAGGUGGAGAUAUUUAAGGGGCCUAAAAAAUAGUUAGAGAAAAUGAAUAAGGUCUAUUGUUUGAUAGCAUAACAAGGUGAUUAUCAUCAAUAAUAAUUAAUUGUACAUUAUAAAAUAAGCAAAAUAAUAUAAUUAGAUUGUUUGUAACACAAAGGAUAAAUGUUUGAGGGAAUGGAUAUCUAAUUUUUCCAUAAGGUGAUUAUUAUGCAUUGCAUGCUUGUACCAACAUAUCUCAUGUAUCCCAUAAAUAUAUACAUCUACUAUGUACUGUCAAAAAUUUUUAAAAAGGACAAAGGACAAAAUCUACAACAUACUGCAUGAUUAUAUUUUCAGCUAUUCGAAGUGCACAUCAUUUUAACAAAGGUGCCAAGAAGAUACUUUGGAGAAAGGACAGUCUCUUCAAUAACAGGUGCUGAUAAUACUAGAUGUCCAUAUGCAGAAGAAUAAUGGAAGUUCUAAUGAAAGGACAAAACAACAUAGCUACUUUUCAAAGCAAUUCACCUACUUAUUAUAAAUUUUAACAUUCAUCUGCCAUAUAACUCAGUAAUGAUACAGCUAGAUAUCUACCUAAGAGAAAAAUAUAAUAUUCACACUACAACAUUUCAUUAAAAAUUAUGGCAGCUUUAUUGAUAGUCACAAAAACAUGAAAAUGACCAGUGCAUAGAUAAACAGGGGUACAUCCAUACAAUGGAAUAAUAAUUAGCAAUACAAGAAAUAAACUAUUGAUUUGUGCAACAACAUUAAUUCAUCUAAAAUGCAUUGUGCUAAGUAAAAAGAAAAGCCAGACUUAGAAAAGCUGCAUAUUAUAUGAUUUUCUUCAUAUGACACCUUAGAAAAAAAAUUAUGGAAAUUGAAAACAGAUUAGUGCUUGCCAAGGGCUGUGGGAUAGGGGUAGAGGUUGACUAGAAGAAAGCAGCACGAAGGAAUUUUGGAUGUGAUGGAAAUGUUUUAUAUGGAACAUUGGUGGUGGAUACAUGAUUCUAAGCAUUUGUUGAAAGUUAUAGGAUUGUAUACCAGAAAGACUACAAUUUUCUAUGCAUAAAGUUUUAAAAAGUCAAAUUGAAAAUAUAUGGAGGAGGCUGGGCAUGGUGGCUCACAUCUGUAAUCCCAGGAUUUUGGGAGGCUGAGUCAGGAUGAUUUCUUGAGCUCAGGAUUUCAAGACCAGCCUGGGCAGCACAGCAAGACCCUGUUUCUACAAAAGUAGAUUUAUUUAAGAAAAUAAAAUAUAUGCAAGGAUAGCAUUUGGACCACUACAAAAUGUACAGAAAAGUGACUAUGAUCAAUAAUAAUAUAUAGUAUUCUUGAAAAAUGUAAACAGAGUGGAUGUUACUCUGACCACAAAAUGAUAACCAAGUGAGGUAAUAUAUUUUUUAAUUAGCCAAAAUUAACCAUUUCACAAUGUAUAUGUACUUUAAAACACCAUGUUGUUCAUGAUAACAUUUCUUGAAAUUUAUUCUCCUGAUCUAACUGUAGAUAUCAUUAGUUUUUUGUUUGUUUGCUCCUUCUUUGUGUGUGUGUGUGUGUGUUUGUGUGUGUGUGUGUGUGUGUGUCAGUCUUUUUCCCUGUCACCCAGCCUGGAGUGUGGUGCUACAAUCCCAGCUCACUGCAGCCUCAACUUCCUGGGCUCAAGCAUCCCUCCCACGUCAGCCUCCUAAGUAGCUGGGACUACAGGUGUGAGCCACCACAUCUGGCCAAACGUAUCUAACUGUAAUUAUGUAUCCUUUUACCAACAUCUCCCCAUUCCUUUUCCCAACUAACAACCUGAGCCUCUACAAACCAUCAUUCUACUCUCUACUUCCAUGUGAUCAGCUUUUCUAGAGCCUACAUGUGAGAGCAUGUGGUAUUUGUAUUUCUGUUCCUUGCUUAUUUCACUUAACAUAACGUCCUUCAGGUUAAUCCAUGUGAUCACAAAUGACAUUCUUAGGCCAUAAUAUUUCACUGUGUAUAUAUACAUUUCUUUAUCCAUUCAUCCACUGAUAGACAGUUUGUUUCCAUAUCUUGACUAUUAUUCGAUAAACAUGGGAGUGCAGAUGCCUCUUUGACAGACCAAUUUCAAUUUUUUGGAUAUAUACCCAGUAGUGGGAUUACUGGGUUAUAUGAAAGUUCUACUUUUGGCGGGGUGUGGUGGCUCACACCCGUAAUCUCAGCACUCCAGGAAGCCAAGGAGGGUGGAUCACCUGAAGUCAGGAGUUCAAGACCAGCCUGGCCAACAUGGUGAAACCCUGUCUCUACUAAAAAUACAAAAAGUAGCUGAGCGUGGUGGUGGACACCUGUAAUCCCAGCUACUCCAGAGGCUGAGGCAUGAGAAUCACUUGAACUCAAGAGGUGGAGGUUGCAGUGAGCCAAGAUGUCGCCACUGCACUCCAGCCUGGGCAAUAGGAGUGAAACUCUGUCUCAAAAAAAAAAAAAAAAAGAAAAAAGUUCUACUUUUAAUUUUUUGAAAAACCCCUAUACUGUUUUUCACAAUGGCUGUGCUAAUUUACAUUCUAACUGGGGUGAGAUAUAAAAGCCAUAUACAACAAACCUAUAGCCAACAUCAUAAUGAAUGGGAAAAAGUUGAAAAUUUUUUAAGAUUCGAAACAAUAUAAGGAUGCCCACUUUCACUACUUCUAUUCAACAGAGAACUGGUGUCCUAGUCAGAGAAAUUAGGCAAGAGAUAAAAAUAAAAGGCAUUAAAAUUAGAGAAGAGGAAGUUAAAUUGUUCCUGUUUGCUGAUGGCAUAACCCUAUAUAUUGAAAACUCUAAGCACUCCACUAAAAAGCUGUUAGAAUUAAUAAAUGAAUUCCAUAAAAUUAUGUUACAAUGUUAACACACAAAAAUUAGUUGCAUUUGUGUACAAUAGCUAACUAUCUGAAAGGAGAAUAAAACAAUCCCAUUUACAGUAGCUACAAAAAAUACCUAUGAGAAAACGUGACCAAGGAGGUAUAAGAAAAAUGUAGAAGAUACAAAUAAAUAAAAAGAUAUUCUAUGCUCAUGGAUUAAAACAAUUAAUAUUAUUAAAAUGUCCAUACUACACAAAGCAAUUUACAGUUUCAAUGGAAUCCCUAUAAAAAUACCAAUGACAUUCUUCAUGGAAAUAGAAAAAAAAAAAUCCUAAAAUUUAUCUGGAACCAAAAAAGACCCCAAAUAGUCAAAGCAAUCUUGAGCACAAAAUCAAAGCUAAAGUCAUGACACUACCUGAUUUCAAAGUAUACUACAAACGUAUAGUAACAAAAAGAGCAUGGUACUGACAUAAAGAUAGAUACAUACACUAAUGGAAUAAAAGAGAACCCAGAUAUAAAUCCAGGCAUUUACAGCCAACUAAUUAUUAAUAAAGUUACCAAGAACAUGCAAUGGGGAAAGGACAAUCUUUUUCAUAAAUUAUGUUGGUGAGAGGUGAAGCCGGCUGGGCUUCUGGGUCAGGUAAGGACUUGGAGAACUUUUUUGUCUAGCUAAAGGAUUGUAAAAACACCAAUCAGUGCUCUGUGUCUAGCUAAAGGUUUGUAAACACACCACUCAGCACUCUGUAAAAACGCACCAAUCAGCACUCUGUGUCUAGCUAAAGGUUUGUAAACGCACCACUCAGCGCUCUGUAAAAAUGCACCAAUCAGCGGUCUGUGUCUAGCUAAAGGUUUGUAAAUGCACCAAUCAGCACUCUGUAAAAAAUGGACCAAUCAGCAGUCUGUAAAAUGGACCAAUCAGCAGGAUGUGGGUGGGUCCAAAUAAGCAAAUAAAAGCUGGCUACCCAAGCCAGCAGCAGCCACCUGCUCAAGUCCCCUUCCACGUUGUAGAUGUUUUGUUCUUUCGCUCUUCAUAAUAAAUCUUGCUGCUGCUCACUCUUUGGGUCUGCACUACCUUUAUGAGCUGUAACACUCACUGUGAAGGUCUGUGGCCUCACUCCUGAAGUCAGCGAGACCACGAACCCACCGGGAGGAAAAAACAACUCCGGACAUGCCACCUUUAAGAGCUGUAACACCGCGAAGGUCUGCAGUUUCACUCCUGAAGUCAAGCGAGACCACAAACCCACCAGAAGGAAGAAACUCCAGACACAUCUGAACGUCUAAAUGAACAAACUCUGGACACACCAUCUUUAAGAACUGUAACACUCACAGCGAGGGUCCGCGGCUUCCUUCUUGAAGUCAGUGAGACCAAGAACCCCCAAGAAGGAACCAAUUCCGGACACAUUGGGAAAACUAGACAUCCACAUGCAGAAACAUUAUUAUUAGUUUUGGGUCUUACAUUUAAGUAUUUAACCCAUUUGGAGUUAAUUUUAGUGUAUGAUGAAGAUAAGGGUCUAAUUUCUUUUUUCUGCCUUAUUUGUUGAGACAUAGUUUAUGUUGAGUAAAAGUAUGUCUCAACAAAUAUAUAGCAUAUAAUUCUAUGAAUUUGAAAAAUGCAUAUAAUUGUGUAACCACAAACAAAGUUAGGAUAUAGAAUAAUUUUAUGAUAUAGAAUAAUUUUACUGAGGUGAACAAGUCCAUGUUGUCCCUUUGCAGUGAAGAAAAUCAGAAUAUUUUAUUCUAAAAUCAUAUUUUUUGACAUAUUCUGAUAUGGCUCUUUAGAAAGCCAGCAAACCCAAGUAGCCCUGCAAAGCUGUCUUGUGGGGGAAAAUUUGCAUCUGCAUUGAUGUAGCCAGGCUUUCUCUGAGGCAUUUCCUCAUCCAGGUCUAGGAAAGAUUAACUGAGAACCUGACACCUUUAAAGUUCUGAAAGAAACAUUUACCAUUAUUCUCUCUGUGGGCUGCUACCUGUGAGGUUUCAUUUCCAGAACAAGACCACCUUUAAUAAACAAGCUUUCUCCUUUCUCCCUCCCAUAUCCUGUCUUGCCACUAUAGCCAAAUUUUCCACCAUAACCUGGUUUUGGCCAUGAUCAUGUUACUGGAAAGUGUGUAGUCCUCAGUUCCUGGCUUCUUGGAAGAAAGAAUUCAGCCAAAAGACAAUUUAGCAAAGUCAGCAGAGUUUAUUGAAGGAAAAUUAAGUAGCCUCCAAGAGAGUAGAUGGCUGGAUGGGCUGGAAACAGCCCUGAGAGUUCUGUGUUGCAGUUUUUGUUAUGUUGGACUUUUCUUUAAGCUCCUUCCUCUAUCUUAAGUCUCCACCUUUGUCUUCAUCUAGCUUCCCACUUCUGUCUUCAGUCUCUGCUUUGUCCCCACCUAGUCCCUGCCCAGGUUUGUGAGAUUCUCCCUUACUGUCAGUUAAUGCACAUUCAAAGGGCCCUGAGAUCAAUACAAAUCCUACCCAAUGGCAGCACUCUCAUUACUGCCUCCUCAGGAAGAUCAUACAAUGGUCAAAUCUGCACUUAUUGUACUUACAUAUUUCUUAGGAAUGUCCCUUUUCUCCCACUUAUCAGCAUGGAGAUAGCUACAUUAUGACAAUUAAGCCACAGAAUAAGUGAUUACAGAGUGUCUUAAGAGAUGUUUCUGGGCAUUCCUUUCCACAUAGGUAUUGUCCCUCCCCUCUGCUUAUAUUUAGCACGCAUGUUUCAGGUGGUCUCUAGGGCAUGAGAUUUUCCAGAGCUUUCUCUCCCAGGGGCUCCCUUUCCUGCUCAUGUCUAACUAUCUGCCUACUACUCUCUGAGCCCUCAUUCUAUCUGUAACCUUACUUCCGCAUUCCACUGGGGUGUUGGGGUAACACUCUGUAAUUCUCCCCCAUGUAUACAUUAAUACAUUUAUAUUGCUUUUCUCCAAUUAAUCUGCCUUCACACAGCUGAUUUUUUAAUGAAAUAUCAGAGAGUGAAGGGGAAGUUUUCCUAUAGCUCCUACAGUAGUCAACUCAUCCUGCUACCCUCCACUUCCCCCACCUGCCUCUGAAAACCACAGAUCUGCUCUCCAUUUCUAUAUUUUGCCUUUUAAAAAAUAUUAUAAUAAUAUCAUAUAGCAUGUUGCCUUUUAAGUCCUAAUUUUUUACUCUUAUUAAGGAGUUUGAGAGGUAUCAUGUUAUAUGUAUAAUUAUUUUUUUUCUUUUUAUUACUGAGUAUCAUUCCAUCAUGUAAAGUUACCCCUGUUUGUUUAUACAUUCCCCAGUUGAAACAAUUUCAGUUGUUUCCACUUUGGGGUGGUUACGAAUAAAGCUGCUCUAAGUAUUCAUAUACAGGUUUUUGUAUGGACAUAAGUAUUCACUUAUAUGAAUUGUCCAAAUAACUGGGUAUUUGCCCAAGUGAACCACUUGUGAAAUUAUAUUCACAUAGGUGAAUCUAACUUUUCCACCAGGAAAGUUAGAAUGUUUCAGUUGCUCCAUGUCCUUACAAGUUUAUAUUCAAUUUUUUUCUUGUUGUUUUGUUAUGCUUUGCUUUAGUCAUUUCAAUGAGUUUAUAACACUAUUGCAAUGUUAUUUAAUUCAGUGUCAUUUAAUUGAGAGUUUCUCAAUGAAUUAGUAAUGGAAAGAAAGUAUCUCAAAACAAUAAAGGCUACACAUGACAAAUUCACAGCUAACAUUGUAUUAAAUGGAGAAAAGCUAAAAGCUUUUUGUUUAAGAACUGGAACAAGACAAAGAUACCUACUAUCGCCACUCUUAUUCAACAUAGCACUGGAAGUCCUGGCAAUUUAGACAAGAGAAAGAAAUAAAGAGCAUCCAAAUCAGAAAGUAAGAAGACAAAUAUUCCCUGUUUGCAGAUAGUUUGAUCUUAUAUAUUAAAAAACCCAACAACUUUACCAAAACAAGUCUUAGAACUUAUAAACAAAUUUAGCAAACUUGUAGGAUACAAAAUAAGCAUACAAAAAUUAGCAGCAUUUCUAUACAUAAAUAAUCAUCCAGCUGAAAACAAAUCAAUAAAGCAAUUCCAUUUAUAAUAGCUGCAAAAAAACCCUAAGAAUAAAUUUAACCAAGGAGGUGAAAGGUCUUUACAAGGAAAAUUAUAAAACACUGAUGAAAGAAAUUGAAGGGGAUAAAAACAAAUAAAAAUACAUCCCAAGCUCAUGGAACAGAAGUAUCAAUAUGAUUAAAAUAACCAUACUACCCCUACCCAAAACAAUCUAUGGAUUCAAUGCAAUACCUACCAAAAUACCAAUGAUGUUCUUCCCAGAAAUAGUUAAAAAAAAAAAAAAUCCUAAAAUUGCUGCUGGACCACAAAAGACCCUGAAAAACCAAAGCAACGUGAACAAAAGCAACAAAGCAGGAGUAUCACACUAUCAGACUUCAAAAUAUGCUACAAAGCUAUAGUAACCAAAACAGUAUGGUACUGGCAUAAAAACCAGACUCAUAGACCAUUAGAACAUAAUAGAGAGCCCAUAAAUUAAUCCACAUAUCUAUAAGCAACUGAUUUUUGAUAAAGCCACCAAGAACAUUCAAUAGGGAAAGGAUAGACUCUUCAAUAAAUAAUGAUAGUACUCAUUUAAGGUAACUUUUGGAGAUAGUAGGAGGCAUGGGUUGACCCUUUUUUUUGAAAACAUAUGAUAUAAAAUUGUUCCAGCACUUUUUGUUGUAUAUACUAAACUUUUUAUUCAUUAAUUGCCUGUGAAUCUUUAGCAAUACAUCUAUGCAUGGGUUUAUUCCUUGACUUUAUAUUCUGUUUUAUUGAUAUAUGUGUCAAUUCUUUUGUCAAUACCACAUUGUCUUAAUAAAAGUAGCUUUAUAUUGUCUUAAAUCAAGUAGUAGGAGCCCUCAAACUUUCUUUUCAUUUUAAAAAAAAUAUUUUGGCCAUUCUGCUUCUUCUACCCUUCCAUAUGACUUUUGAAUCCAAUUUGAUUUUAACUUUAAAAAAUAUGCUACUGGGAAUUUGUUUGUGAUUUCAUAGAAUCUACUAAUCACUUUAGGAAGAAUUGAUAUCUUAGUAAUACUCAGUUUUUCUUUCUAUGAACAUGAUACAGCUCUUAAUUUAUGUAUUUUGUUUUUGUUUUUGUUUUAUAGAUUUCACCAUAAAAUAUGUGUACAUCUUUUGUUAAACUUGUACUUAAGUAUUUUGUUUUUAUUUUUUGGUGUUAGUUUAAGAGUACUUUCUAAAAUUUUUAAUUUCUGGUUUUAUUAUAGUACAAAAAUACAAUAGAUUUGUAUAUACUGACCACGUAUCAUGAAACCUGGCUAAAGAUACGUAUUAGUUCUGAUAACUCUUAUAAGGCAGUUUUAUUUUUGCCAUUUCUGUCUGGAUGGCUUGUUUGUAUGUAUGUACAUAUGUAUGUAUAUAUGUAUGUAUGUAUGUAUUUAGACUUAUUGAACUAGAUAGGACUUCCGGUGUAACGUUGGAGUGGUGCAAAUGGUCAUCCUUGUAUUGCUUAUAACCAUAGUGAAUAAGCAUUCCAUCUUUGGCCAUUUAGUGUGAUGUCAGUUGCAUGUUUUUGUAGAUAUUCUUUAUAAUCUUAACAUGUUUCCUUCUAUCUUGUUUGCUCAGAUUUUACCACCAAUGAAUAUUGAACUCUUAUCAAAUAAAUGAUUUCUCUAAAACAAUUGUGUUGAUGACAUGGUUUUAUAUGUUUGAUUUGUUUAUAUGUGAUUUGUAUUCAUUGAUUUUUAAACAACUUUAUUGAGGUAUAUUUUUCAAAUCACAAAAUUUACUUAUUUUAAGUGUACAAUUCGAUGAUUUUAAGUAACUUUACUACAUGGUACAAAAUCAGCUUUCGAACAUUUUCAUCUCUCAAUAAGACUCAGUGUGCCCUUUAAAAUGAAUCCUUAUUCCAUUUCUCAGCCCCAGACAAGCACUAAAUUACUUUCUGUCUCUAUAAAUGUGACUUUUCUAGAUAUUUUAUAUAAAUGGAGUCACACAGUAUGUGGUCCUCUGUGUAUGGAUUCUUUCACUUACCAUGAUGUUUCCAAGAAUCAUCCAUGUUUUAGUUAUAAAUGAAUACCAUUCUUUUUCAUGGCUGAAUAAUAUUCAAUUGUACAGAUAAACUCUAUUGUGUCCAUCCAUUCCUCAGAUGGUAGACAUGUGUAUUCUUUUCACUUUUUGGAAAUUAUGAAUACUGCUGUUAUGAACAUUGCUAUACAAGUUUUUGUGUGAAUAUAUGUUUUUCUUUUUUUGGGGGGUGUACACAUCGGAGUAAAAUUACUGAGUCAAAUGUUGAUUCUAUUUAAAUUUUUGAGGAACUGCCAAAUUAUUUUCUACCACGUAUGUACAACUCUACAUUCCCAUCAUAAAUAUAUAAUGUUGAAUUUUUGCCAAUGUUUGUUGUUAUCCCUUUCUUUGAUUAUAACCAUUCUAUUGUGUGUAAAGUAGUAUCUCAUUAUGGGUUGUCGAAUUUGCAUUUCCCAAACGAUUAAUGACAUUGUCUUUUCAUGUCUUUUUGGCCUUUUGUAUAUCUUCUUUAAGGAAAUACAUAUUCAAAUCUUUUGUUCCUUUUAUAAUUAAAAUAUUGUUUUAUUGUUGAGUUAUAAGCAUUUGUAUAUAUUCUUGAACUAGACUUUUAUUAAGUAUAUGUUUUGACAGUGUGUUCCCUCAGUCUGUCAAUCAUCUUUUGAGUUUCUUUAUAGUGUUCUUUGAAGUAUGAAAAUACUUAAUUUGAUGAAGUAAAAUUUAUUGAUUUUUACUUUGGCUGCUUGUGCUUUAAGUGUCUUAUCUAAGAAACCUAAAAAACUGUUGCCUAAUCCAAGGUCACAAAAAUUUACAUCCAUGGUUUUUUCUCACAGCUGUAUAGUUUUAGGACUUACAUUUAGUUUUUUGAUACAUUUUUUGCUUAAAUUUUGUAAAUAAUAGGAAGUCCCAGAACCAUUUGUUGAAAAAGAUCACCCCCUUCUCCUAUUAAAUUCCUGUAAAUUAAUCGACUAUAAAUAUGAGGGUUUAUUUCUGAAAGCACGAAUCCAGUAUAGCUUUCUCCCUUACCCUUAUAUUUACUAUUAUUGUCAUAAAAGUUAUAUUUCUAUACAUUCUGAGCCCAUCAACAAAGUUUUAUACUUAUGACUUUUAUGUAUUUGUCUUAAUUCAGAUAGAUUUAUGAACAAAAAUAUAUUUAUACUGCC
rnacentral:lncRNA from 1 species